rnacentral:rRNA from 1 species
GAUGAACGCUGGCGGCGUGCCUAAUACAUGCAAGUCGAGCGAACAGAUGAGAAGCUUGCUUCUCUGAUGUUAGCGGCGGACGGGUGAGUAACACGUGGGUAACCUACCUAUAAGACUGGGAUAACUCCGGGAAACCGGGGCUAAUACCGGAUAAUAUUUUGAACCGCAUGGUUCGAUAGUGAAAGACGGUUUCGGCUGUCACUUAUAGAUGGACCCGCGCCGUAUUAGCUAGUUGGUAAGGUAACGGCUUACCAAGGCGACGAUACGUAGCCGACCUGAGAGGGUGAUCGGCCACACUGGAACUGAGACACGGUCCAGACUCCUACGGGAGGCAGCAGUAGGGAAUCUUCCGCAAUGGGCGAAAGCCUGACGGAGCAACGCCGCGUGAGUGAUGAAGGUCUUCGGAUCGUAAAACUCUGUUGUUAGGGAAGAACAAAUUUGUUAGUAACUGAACAAGUCUUGACGGUACCUAACCAGAAAGCCACGGCUAACUACGUGCCAGCAGCCGCGGUAAUACGUAGGUGGCAAGCGUUAUCCGGAAUUAUUGGGCGUAAAGCGCGCGUAGGCGGUUUCUUAAGUCUGAUGUGAAAGCCCACGGCUCAACCGUGGAGGGUCAUUGGAAACUGGGAAACUUGAGUGCAGAAGAGGAGAGUGGAAUUCCAUGUGUAGCGGUGAAAUGCGCAGAGAUAUGGAGGAACACCAGUGGCGAAGGCGGCUCUCUGGUCUGUAACUGACGCUGAUGUGCGAAAGCGUGGGGAUCAAACAGGAUUAGAUACCCUGGUAGUCCACGCCGUAAACGAUGAGUGCUAAGUGUUAGGGGGUUUCCGCCCCUUAGUGCUGCAGCUAACGCAUUAAGCACUCCGCCUGGGGAGUACGACCGCAAGGUUGA